rnacentral:tRNA from 1 species
GCCAGUUUGGUCUAGUGGUUAAGGCACCAGGCUAGAAACCAGGAGACUGUGGGUCAAGUUCUGCAUUAGGCA